rnacentral:lncRNA from 1 species
UGAAGGACCCCACUGAUUCCAGCUGCUCUAAAGAACCCUACUGACAUUAGCUGGUCUGAAGGACCCCAUAAGAAGCUGACUCACUAAAAAAAGUGCAGUUUCCACAUUGUGAUGAUUUCAUCCCCUUUACCCCAACAAAUCAACAACCUAAAUUCCCCAGCCCCUCACCCUCCAUGAUCUCCUUGCAAAUCCCAGCCCAGAACUCCCUGAGAUGAAUUUGAGAGUCUCUGCUCAUCUCACUUGGCAACCAGCGAUCAUUAAACUCUUUCUCUGCUGAAAACUUUGCUGUUUUAUUAUAGUGGGUCUGUUCAUGUGCAGCUGGCACACAAACCUGUUGGUCCUGUAACAGUUCUCUUACUCCUUUUCAGGGUCCUCACCGUGACACCUGACCAGUCUUGGGGCACGCCAUCCUCUACUGAUCUGAGGUUGCUCCUGUCAGAUCAAGGUACUCACCUUCUGGGGACCUCUGAACUGGAAGUUGUGAUCUGGAGACACCCCUGAAGGACAUCCUGUCCUUGUUUCAGAUGAACUAAUGGGGAAGGAAUAAAGAAGGAGACAAGGAACAACAAAAAGAAUAUUAAAUUUAAAUGCCUUCCAAAUGGUGGAACUCCAUGUAUUGAUUUCAAUAUGCCAGUGGGUGUGACCUAGAUUCAAAAGUGAAGAGGCACUGUUAUUUAAUCUUUAGAAAUAGUAUCACAUGCUUCCUCCAGGUGCAUGUAAAUAUGCUCAUGUAAUGGUAAAAUUAAAUAUAUUCCUUGUCACUGGAACUUGCUCUGAUAAAAUGUAAAGUUCUGUGCUUGUAAAACUGUUGGUAAAAGUGAUAGAAAAGCUGCAAAACAAACUGUAAAAAAUGUUCAAGUAACAUUCUUUGUUUUAGAACAUGAGAAAAUAGUGAUUUACUGGGGGGCUUUCAGAACAGAAAUUAUUGGUGGGCACUGAUGGAUCACUACUGAGGCUAAUAAAAGAUAAAUUUUCUUCACUUAUUCUCUCUAAGGCACUGGUAUACAAUCACAGAGAUGACCUCAUUCCUUUCCUUACUCCUUUGAUGUGACUAAGAGUCAGAAACUCAUGACAUUAACAUGAGAUGAUGCACUGAAUAGAAGUACGCACAGGUGCUUUGGAAGCUCUGGUGAGAGGAUAACUAACUGCUGGAUUAUUGGGGUUGCAAUGAAGGGGUGUGGGCGUUAGGAAAGUUUCCCAAAAAAAAGC